UACGUAGGGGGGCAAGCGUUGUCCGGAUUUAUUGGGCGUAAAGAGCGUGUAGGCGGCCAGACAGGUCCGUUGUGAAAACUCGAGGCUCAACCUCGAGACGCCGAUGGAAACCGUCUGGCUAGAGUCCGGAAGAGGAGAGUGGAAUUCCUGGUGUAGCGGUGAAAUGCGCAGAUAUCAGGAAGAACACCCGUGGCGAAGGCGGCUCUCUGGGACGGUACUGACGCUGAGACGCGAAAGCGUGGGGAGCAAACAGG
rnacentral:rRNA from 1 species